GACGAACGCUGGCGGCGUGCUUAACACAUGCAAGUCGAACGGAAAGGCCCUGCUUUUGUGGGGUGCUCGAGUGGCGAACGGGUGAGUAACACGUGAGUAACCUGCCCUUGACUUUGGGAUAACUUCAGGAAACUGGGGCUAAUACCGGAUAGGAGCUCCUGCUGCAUGGUGGGGGUUGGAAAGUUUCGGCGGUUGGGGAUGGACUCGCGGCUUAUCAGCUUGUUGGUGGGGUAGUGGCUUACCAAGGCUUUGACGGGUAGCCGGCCUGAGAGGGUGACCGGCCACAUUGGGACUGAGAUACGGCCCAGACUCCUACGGGAGGCAGCAGUGGGGAAUAUUGCACAAUGGGCGGAAGCCUGAUGCAGCAACGCCGCGUGCGGGAUGACGGCCUUCGGGUUGUAAACCGCUUUCGCCUGUGACGAAGCGUGAGUGACGGUAAUGGGUAAAGAAGCACCGGCUAACUACGUGCCAGCAACCGCGGUGAUACGUAGGGUGCGAGCGUUGUCCGGAUUUAUUGGGCGUAAAGGGCUUGUAGGUGGUUGAUCGCGUCGGAAGUGUAAUCUUGGGGCUUAACCCUGAGCGUGCUUUCGAUACGGGUUGACUUGAGGAAGGUAGGGGAGAAUGGAAUUCCUGGUGGAGCGGUGGAAUGCGCAGAUAUCAGGAGGAACACCAGUGGCGAAGGCGGUUCUCUGGGCCUUUCCUGACGCUGAGGAGCGAAAGCGUGGGGAGCGAACAGGCUUAGAUACCCUGGUAGCCCACGCUGUAAACGGUGGGUACUAGGUGUGGGGUCCAUUCCACGGGUUCCGUGCCGUAGCUAACGCUUUAAGUACCCCGCCUGGGGAGUACGGCCGCAAGGCUAAAACUCAAAGGAAUUGACGGGGCCCCGCACAAGCGGCGGAGCAUGCGGAUUAAUUCGAUGCAACGCGUAGAACCUUACCUGGGUUUGACAUGGAUCGGGAGUGCUCAGAGAUGGGUGUGCCUCUUUUGGGGUCGGUUCACAGGUGGUGCAUGCCUGUCGUCAGCUCGUGUCGUGAGAUGUUGGGUUAAGUCCCGCAACGAGCGCAACCCUUGUUCACUGUUGCCAGCACGUUAUGGUGGGGACUCAGUGGAGACCGCCGGGGUCAACUCGGAGGAAGGUGGGGAUGACGUCAAGUCAUCAUGCCCCUUAUGUCCAGGGCUUCACGCAUGCUACAAUGGCUGGUACAGAGAGUGGCGAGCCUGUGAGGGUGAGCGAAUCUCGGAAAGCCGGUCUCAGUUCGGAUUGGGGUCUGCAACUCGACCUCAUGAAGUCGGAGUCGCUAGUAAUCGCAGAUCAGCAACGCUGCGGUGAAUACGUUCCCGGGGCU
rnacentral:rRNA from 1 species